rnacentral:rRNA from 1 species
UACGAAGGUGGCAAGCGUUGUUCGGAUUUACUGGGCGUACAGGGAGCGUAGGCGGUUGGAUAAGCCCUCCGUGAAAUCUCCAGGCUUAACCUGGAAAGUGCAGAGGGGACUGUUCAGCUAGAGGAUGGGAGAGGAGCGCGGAAUUCCCGGUGUAGCGGUGAAAUGCGUAGAGAUGUGGAGGAACACCGAUGGCGAAGGCAGCCCCCUGGGCUAACACUGACGCUCAUGCACGAAAGCGUGGGGAGCAAACAGG